rnacentral:rRNA from 1 species
CCCUUAGAUGUUCUGAGCCGCACGCGUGCUACACUGAGUGGAUCAGCGGGUCAGGUUGCGCGAAAGUGUUUCCUAAUCUUGAAAUCCGCUCGUGAUGGGGAUUGACGGUUGCAAUUUUCCGUCAUGAACGAGGAAUACCUUGUAAGCGCGGGUCAUCAUCCCGCGCUGAAUACGUCCCUGCCCUUUGUACACACCGCCCGUCGCUCCUACCGAUUGAGUGGUCCGGUGAGGCUUUGGGAUCUGAGCGGAAAGAGCGUUUCGCUGUUUCUGCUCGGAAAACUCAGUCGAACCUUAUCAUUUAGAGGAAGGAGAAGUCGUAACA